rnacentral:rRNA from 1 species
UACGUAGGGUGCAAGCGUUGUCCGGAAUUAUUGGGCGUAAAGAGCUCGUAGGCGGUCUGUCGCGUCGGCUGUGAAAUCCCGAGGCUCAACCUCGGGUCUGCAGUCGAUACGGGCAAACUAGAGUAUUGCAGGGGAGACUGGAAUUCCUGGUGUAGCGGUGAAAUGCGCAGAUAUCAGGAGGAACACCGGUGGCGAAGGCGGCUCUCUGGGCCAUAACUGACGCUGAGGAGCGAAAGCAUGGGGAGCGAACAGG